rnacentral:rRNA from 1 species
AGUGAACGCUGGCGGUAGGCCUAACACAUGCAAGUCGAACGGAAGCACAGUAAGAGCUUGCUCUUACGGGUGGCGAGUGGCGGACGGGAGAGGAAUAUAUCGUAACCUACUUUUUCGUGGGGGAUAACGUAGGGAAACUUACGCUAAUAUCGCAUACGACCUACGGGUGAAAGCAGGGGAUCUUCGGACCUUUCGCGAUUGAAUGAGCCGAUGUCGGAUUAGCUAGUUGGCGGGGUAAAGGCCCACUAAGGCGAGGAUCCGUAGCUGGUCUGAGAGGAUGGUCGGCCGCAUGGGAGCUGGGACACGGUCCAGGCGCCUACGGGAGGGAGCAGUGGGGAAUAGUGGGCAGUGGGCGCAAGCCUGAUCCAGCCAUACCGCGUGGGUGAAGAAGGCCUUCGGGUUGUAAAGCCCUUUUGUUGGGAAAGAAAAGCAGCAGGUUAAUACCCCGCUGGUCUGACGGUACCCAAAGAAUAAGCACCGGCUAACUUCGUG